UACGGAGGGUGCAAGCGUUAUCCGGAUUCACUGGGUUUAAAGGGUGCGUAGGUGGGCAGUUAAGUCAGUGGAUGAAUCGUCCGGCUCAACCCGGAAACUGCCAUUGAUACUAUCUGUCUUGAAUAUCGUGGAGGUAAGCGGAAUAUGUCAUGUAGCGGUGAAAUGCUUAGAUAUGACAUAGAACACCAAUUGCGAAGGCAGCUUACUACCCGAAUAUUGACACUGAGGCACGAAAGCGUGGGGAUCAAACAGG
rnacentral:rRNA from 1 species